rnacentral:lncRNA from 1 species
AAAACUUAUUUUGCAUCUCCUGUCACAUGGUGAGGCCAAAAACAAUAUCCACAUCUAUGUAACAAACAAAAAACUGAUCAAAUAGAACAAAAGGGAACCAAUCACCAAACCAGAACCGCUUUUCCUUCAAAAAUGGUGAAGAACCACACAAAGAUCCAUCUGAAAUGGAAGUGCAUAAACAAUAAGCAAGGGGAAAGCCCAGGAAGAAGACAAUGACAGUAGAAAAAUAUUAUACUCCCUCUACAAUGCUUCACGUCCAACAACCAGACCAAGAUAGCCCCACCUUAAGCUCCGACUUUGGUAGAAUCAAAACUUAUUUUGUAUCUCCUGUCAAAGGGUGGGACCAAAAACAAUAUACACAUGUACGUAACAAACAAAAAAUAGAUUAAACAGAGCAAAAGGGAACCAAGCACCAAACCAGAACCGCCUUCCCACGAGAACUGGUUAAUUAGAACCCAAAGAUCAAACAUUUGAAGAUUAAAGAGCAUAACAAUAAGCAAAGGGAAAAAGUUCACCUAGAAGAUAAAUCACAAUAGAAAAAUAAUAUACUCCUGUUGACACCCACCAUAAACACUAUACCAAUGGCAGCAUCCAAGAUUGGUCCAUAUCCAAAUAACCAGACCAAGAUAGCCUCACCUUAAAUACCUAACUUUGAUGGAAUCAAAACCAAUUUUGUAUCUCCUGACACAGGGUGAGGCAGAAAACAAGGUCCAAGUCUACGUAACAAAAUAAAACUAUAAUAGAGAGCAAAGAUAACCAAGGAUCAAACCAGAACAGUCUUCCACAGAAGCCUGAUUAAGAAACACACAACGAUCCGGCAUCUGGAAAUUGAAAAGAAUAACGAUAAGCAAGGGAAAGUUUAGGUAGAAUAUAAAAUUUAGUAAAAAAGUUACAAUACUAUACUCCCUAUGCAACCCUUGAUAAACACUAUAUCAAUGACAGCGUCAAAGGUUGCUCCGUGUCCAACAAUCAGACCAAGAUUGCACCACCAUAAGCUCCUACUUUGAUAGAAUCAAAACUUAAUUUAUAUUUUGUGUCAUAGGGUGAUGCAGAAAACAAUAUCCACGCCAACGUAACAAACAAAAAACUGAUGAAAGAGAAAAAAGAUAACAAAGCAUCAAACCGAACAGCCUUCCAAUUAAGAACCACAACGAUCAGAAAUCUGAAAAUUGAAGAGUAUAACGACAAGCACCGGAAACUCUAGGUAGAAGAGAAAAUAUAGUAGAAGAAAAUGUAGUAUAACAAUCUGCAUCCCUCAAUAAACAUUAUAUCAAUUGACAUCUUAUAUUAGUCCGCAUCCAACAACCCCACCAAGUUGGCCCCCACCUUAAGCUCCCACUUUGAUAGAAUAAAACUGAAUUUGUAUCUCCUGUCACAGGGUGAGGGCGAAAAAAAUAUCAAAGUCUACGUAACAAAAAAAAAAAAACUAUAAUAGAGAACACAGACAACCAAGCGUCAAACAAGAACUGCCUUUCAGAGAAGCUUGAUUAAGAACAAAACAGCAACCAAAGAUUUGUCCAUGUCCAAAAACCAGACCAAGAUAGCCCCCACCUUAAGCUCCUACUUUGAUAGAAUCAAAACCUAUUUUGUAUCUCCUGUCACAGGGUGAGGCUGAAAACAACAUCCAAGUCUACAUAACAGCAAAAGAACUAUAAUUGAGAGAGCAAAGAUAACCAAUUAUCAAACCCGAACUGCCUUCCAGUUAAACUUGAUUAAGAACCACAUAAUGAACAGGCAUCUGGAAAUGGAAGAGAGACUAACAAUAACCACAGGAAAGUCUAGAUGGAAGAUAAAUUGUAGUAGAAAAAAAUACUAUAUUAUACUCCCUCUGCCAUCCUCGAUAAACACUAUAAUUGACAGCGUCAAAGGUUGAUCUGUGGCCAAUAUAACUAAACCAAGAUUAGCCCCACCUUGAGCUCCUACUUUGAUAAAAUCAAAACAAAAUUUUUAUCAUCUGCCAUAGGAUGAGGCAGAAAUACAAUAUACACGUAUACGUAACAAACAAAAAAACUGAUGAUAGAGAGAAAAGAUAAACCCAGCAUCAAACCAGAAGUGCCUUCAAGUAAAGAACACCUGGAAAUUGAAGAGUAUAACGAUAAGUAUAGGAAACUCAAGGUAAAAGAGAAAACGUAAAAAAAAAAAAAAUAACUAUACUGUACACCAUCUGCCACCCUCGACAAACACUAUAUCAAUGAUGGCAUCAUAGAUUAGUCCAUAUCCAAAAACCAGACCAAGAUAACCCCCACCUUAAGCUUCAACUUUGAUAGAAUCAAAACCUAUUUUGUCUCCUGGCACAGGGUGAGGACCAAAACAUUGUCCAAGUCUACAUAACAAAUAAACAAUAAUUACAGAGCAAAGGUGACCAAUUAGCAAACCAGAACAGCCUUCCCGUGAAGCUUGAUUAAAAACCACACAGCGAUCAGGCAUCUGGAAAUUGAUGAGAACAACGGUAAGCAUGGGAAAGUCUAGGUAGAAGAUAAAAGAUAGUAAAAAAAAAAAAAACUAUUCUAUACUCUCUUUGCCAGGCCCACACCACUAUAUCAAUGACAGCAUCAAAGGUAGAUCCGUGUUCAAUAACCAGGCCAACAUUAGCCACACCAUAAGCUCCUUCUUUCAAAACUUAAUUUUUAUCUCCUAUCAUAGGGUGAGGCAGAGAACAAUAUCCACGUCUACAUAACAACAAAAAAUUGUUGAAACUGACAAAAGAUAACCAAGAAAACAAGAAGUGCCAUCCAUUAUGGAAAUUGAAGAGUAUAACUAUAAACACGGGAAACUCUAGGUAGAAGAGAAAAUGUAGUAGAAAAAAAAAAUACUAUUAUGUAUUUCCUUUGCGACCCUCGAUUUACAAUAUACCAAUGAUAACAUCAAAGAUCUGUCCGCGUCCAAAAACCAGACCAAGAUAGCCCCCACAUUAAGCUCCUACAGUGAUGGAAUCAAAACCUAUUUUGUAUCUCCUGUCACAGGGUAGGCCCAAAACAAUAUCCAAGUCUAUAUAACAACAAAAGAAAUAUAAUAGAGAGAUCAAAUGCAACCAAUUAUGAACCCAGAACUGCCUUCCAGUUAAGCUUGAUUAAGAACCACACAACGAUCAGGCAUCUGGAAAUUGAAGAGAAUAACAAUAAGCACGGGAAAGUCAAGAUGGAAGAUAAAUUGUAGCAGAAUUAAUACAAUACUAUACUCCCUCUGACACCCUCGAUAAACAUUAUAUCAGUGACAGCAUCAAAAGUUGAUAUGUCUCCAAUAACUAGACCAAGAUUAGCCCCACCAUAAGCUGCUUCUUUCACAACUUAAUUUUUAACCCCUGUCACAAGGUGAGGCAGAAAACAAUAUCCACGUCUACGUAACAAAUAAAAGAUUGUUGAAACUGACAAAAGAUAACCAAGCAUACCAGAAGUGCCUUCCAGUUAAGAACCACACAACAAUCAGACAUCUGGAAAUUGAAGAGUAUAACUAUUAGCACGGGAAACUCUAGGUAGAAGAGAAAAUGUAGUAGAAAAAAAAUACUAUUAUGUACUCCAUGUACUCCCUUUACCACCCACAUUAAACUAUAUCAAUGACAGCAUGAAGGAUUUGUCAGUGUACCAAAAACCAGACCAAGACACGCCCCCACCUUAAGCUCCUACUUUGAUAGAAUCAGAACCUAUUUUGUAUCUCCUAUCACAGGGUGAGGCUGAAACCAACAUCGAGUCUAAAUAACAACAAAAGAACUACAAUAGAGAGAGCAAAGGUAACCAACUAUCAAACCCGAACUGCCGUCCAGUAAGCUUGAUUAAGAACCACACAACGAUCGGGCAUCUGGAAAUGGAAGAGAAUAACGAUAAGCACCGGAAGGUCUAGAUGGAAGAUAAAUUGUAUUAGAAGAAAUACUAUACUAACUCCCUCUGCCACCCUCGAAAAACAUAUCAUGACCAUCAAAGGAUUGAUUGUGUGCAAUAACUGACUAAGAUUAGCCCUACCUUAAGCCCUACUUUGAUAAAAUUAAAACUUAAUUUUUAUCUCAUGUCAUAGGGUGGGGCAGAAAACAAUAUCACGUCUAUGUACAAACAAAAAUUGUUGAAAUGACAAAAGAUAACCAAACAUCAAACCAGAAGUGUCAUCCAGUUAAGAACCACCCCACGAUCAGACAUCUGGAAAUUGAAGAGUAUAUCUAUAAGCACGGGAAACUCUAGGUAGAAGAGAAAAUGUAUAGAAAUAAAAAUACUAUUAUGUACUCCCUUUGCCACCCUCGAUUAACACAAUAUCAAUGACUCAUCAAAGAUCUGUCCGCGUCCAAAAACCAGACCAAGAUAGCCCCCACAUUAAGCUCCUACAGUGAUGGAAUCAAAACCUAUUUUGUAUCUCCUGUCACAGGGUAGGCCCAAAACAAUAUCCAAGUCUAUAUAACAACAAAAGAAUAUAAUAGAGAGAUCAAAUGCAACCAAUUAUGAACCCAGAACUGCCUUCCAGUUAAGCUUGAUUAAGAACCAAACAACGAUCAGGCAUCUGGAAAUCGAAGAGAAUAACAAUAAGCACGGGAAAGUCAAGAUGGAAGAUAAAUUGUAGCAGAAUUAAUACAAUACUAUACUCCCUCUGACACCCUCGAUAAACAUUAUAUCAGUGACAGCAUCAAAAGUUGAUGUCUCCAGUAACUAGACCAAGAUUAGCCCCACCAUAAGCUGCUUCUUUCACAACUUAAUUUUUAACUCCUGUCACAAGGUGAGGCAGAAAACAAUAUCCACGUCUACGUAACAAAUAAAAGAUUGUUGAAACUGACAAAAGAUAACCAAGCAUACCAGAAGUGCCUUCCAGUUAAGAACCACACAACAAUCAGACAUCUGGAAAUUGAAGAGUAUAACUAUUAGCACGGGAAACUCUAGGUAGAAGAGAAAAUGUAGGUAGAAAAAAAAUACUAUUAGUACUCCCUUUACCACCCACUAUUAACACUAUAUCAAUGACAGCAUGAAGGAUUUGUCAGUGUCCAAAAACCAGACCAAGACAGCCCCCACCUUAAGCUCCUACUUGAUAGAAUCAGAACCUAUUUUGUAUCUCCUAUCACAGGGUGAGGCUGAAACCAACAUCCGAGUCUAAAUAACAACAAAAGAACUACAAUAGAGAGAGCAAAGGUAACCAACUAUCAAACCCGAACUGCCGUCCAGUUAAGCUUGAUUAAGAACCACACAACGAUCGGGCAUCUGGAAAUGAAGAGAAUAACGAUAAGCACCGGAAGGUCUAGAUGGAAGAUAAAUUGUAUAGAAGAAAUACUAUACUAUACUCCCUCUGCCACCCUCGAUAAACACACUAUAUAGUGACCACGUCAAAGGAUUGACUUGUGUGCAAUAACUUGACUAAGAUUAGCCCUACCUUAAGCUCCUACUUGAUAAAAUUAAAACUUAAUUUUUAUCUCAUGUCAUAGGGUGGGGCAGAAAACAAUAUCCACGUCUAUGUAGCAAACAAAAUUGUUGAACUGACAAAAGAUAACCAAACAUCAAACAGAAGUGUCUCCAGUUAAGAACCACCCCACGAUCAGACAUCUGGAAAUUGAAGAGUAUAUCUAUAAGCACGGGAAACUCGAGGUAGAAGAGAAAAUGUAGUAGAAUAAAAAUACUAUUAUGUACUCCCUUUGCCACCCUCGAUUAACACAAUAUCAAUGACUACAUCAAAGAUCUGUCGCGUCCAAAAACCAGACCAAGAUAGCCCCCACAUUAAGCUCCUACAGUGAUGGAAUCAAAACCUAUUUUGUAUCUCCUGUCACAGGGUAGGCUCAAAACAAUAUCCAAGUCUAUAUAACAACAAAAGAAAUAUAAUAGAGAGAUCAAAUGCAACCAAUUAUGAACCCAGAACUGCCUUCCAGUUAAGCUUGAUUAAGAACCAAACAACGAUCAGGCAUCUGGAAAUCGAAGAGAAUAACAAUAAGCACGGGAAAGUCAAGAUGGAAGAUAAAUUGUAGCAGAAUUAAUACAAUACUAUACUCCCUCUGACACCCUCGAUAAACAUUAUAUCAGUGACAGCAUCAAAAGUUGAUAGUCUCCAUAACUAGACCAAGAUUAGCCCCACCAUAAGUGCUUCUUUCACAACUUAAUUUUUAACCCCUGUCACAAGGUGAGGCAGAAAACAAUAUCCACGUCUACGUAACAAAUAAAAGAUUGUUGAAACUGAC